GCUUGAUGCAUUUCAUUUCGGAUCUCAACCAAGCUUUCAGACUUUAAAUCUUGUUGAAGAUGUGCAAAGACGUAUCAUCAGCCAACAUCUGACGAAGCAAUGAGUUUGAUGUGUGUGUUAAGAAUAUAUAAAACAUGCCUGAGAUGUUGAUGCUUGUGGCUAGUAGAAGCUCACAGCCUUCUCAUGGUCACAAGCUUACAAUCAACAAAGAGCUUCUCUGUUCCCAGGGAGGAAACACCCGGAUGUUCGCCUUUCCUAGUUCCUACUAAUAAAAACGUUUCAUUUGUAGAGUAAAUAAAAUUUAAUAAAAACUUCAAACCGAA